AACGGGUGAGUAACACGUGGGAAAUCUGCCUAGGAGUGGGGGAUAACAUUCGGAAACGGAUGCUAAUACCGCAUAUCUUUUUGAACCGCAUGGUUCUUAAACGAAAGACGGCCUCGGCUGUCGCUCUUAGAUGAUCCCGCGGCGUAUUAGUUAGUUGGUGGGGUAAAGGCCUACCAAGACCAUGAUACGUAGCCGACCUGAGAGGGUGAUCGGCCACACUGGGACUGAGACACGGCCCAGACUCCUACGGGAGGCAGCAGUAGGGAAUCUUCCACAAUGGGUGAAAACCUGAUGGAGCAAUGCCGCGUGAAUGAAGAAGGUCUUCGGAUCGUAAAGUUCUGUUAUUAGAGAAGAACAAGUCAAGGAGUAACUGUCUUGACUUUGACGGUACCUAACCAGAAAGUCACGGCUAACUACGUGCCAGCAGCCGCGGUAAUACGUAGGUGACAAGCGUUGUCCGGAAUUAUUGGGCGUAAAGGGAGCGCAGGCGGUUGGAAUAGUCUGAUGUGAAAGCCCACGGCUUAACCGUGGAAGGUCAUUGGAAACUGUCCAACUUGAAUACAGAAGAGGUAAGUGGAAUUCCAAGUGUAGCGGUGAAAUGCGUAGAUAUUUGGAGGAACACCAGUGGCGAAGGCGACUUACUGGUCUGUAAUUGACGCUGAGGCUCGAAAGCGUGGGUAGCAAACAGGAUUAGAUACCCUGGUAGUCCACGCCGUAAACGAUGAGUGCUAAGUGUUAGGGGGUUUCCGCCCCUUAGUGCUGGAGUUAACG
rnacentral:rRNA from 1 species